UACGAAGGGGGCUAGCGUUGUUCGGAAUUACUGGGCGUAAAGGGCGCGUAGGCGGUGUGUCAAGUCAGGCGUGAAAGCCCCGGGCUCAACCUGGGAAUGGCAUGGGAAACUGGCGAACUGGAGUGUGGCAGAGGGGGGUGGAAUUCCGCGUGUAGCAGUGAAAUGCGUAGAGAUGCGGAGGAACACCGAUGGCGAAGGCAGCCCCCCUGGGCUGACACUGACGCUCAGGCACGAAAGCGUGGGGAGCAAACAGG
rnacentral:rRNA from 1 species